rnacentral:rRNA from 1 species
AUGAACGCUAGCGGCGUGCCUAAUACAUGCAAGUCGAGCGAACAGACGAGGAGCUUGCUCCUCUGACGUUAGCGGCGGACGGGUGAGUAACACGUGGAUAACCUACCUAUAAGACUGGGAUAACUUCGGGAAACCGGAGCUAAUACCGGAUAAUAUAUUGAACCGCAUGGUUCAAUAGUGAAAGACGGUUUUGCUGUCACUUAUAGAUGGAUCCGCGCCGCAUUAGCUAGUUGGUAAGGUAACGGCUUACCAAGGCAACGAUGCGUAGCCGACUGAGAGGGUGAUCGGCCACACUGGAACUGAGACACGGUCCAGACUCCUACGGGAGGCAGCAGUAGGGAAUCUUCCGCAAUAGGCGAAAGCCUGACGGAGCAACGCCGCGUGAGUGAUGAAGGUCUUCGGAUCGUAAAACUCUGUUAUUAGGGAAGAACAAAUGUGUAAGUAACUAUGCACGUCUUGACGGUACCUAAUCAGAAAGCCACGGCUAACUACGUG